UCGCCGGGUGGCAGGUUGAUGCCGGCCUCGCGCAGGCCGUCGAGCACCAGGGCGCGGCGCCGGGCGUACUCGGCGCGGGCGUGC
rnacentral:tRNA from 1 species